rnacentral:rRNA from 1 species
GAAUAUUGGACAAUGGGGGCAACCCUGAUCCAGCAAUGCCGCGUGUGUGAAGAAGGCCUGCGGGUUGUAAAGCACUUUCGUUGGGGAGGAGUAGGUUUUGGUGAAUAACUGAGACUGAGGACGUUACCCAAAUAAGAAGCCCCGGCUAACUCUGUGCCAGCAGCCGCGGUAAUACAGAGGGUGCAAGCGUUAAUCGGAAUCAUUGGGCGUAAAGCGCACGUAGGUGGUUAUGUAAGUUGGCUGUGAAAUCCCCGGGCUUAACCUGGGAAAGCCAGUCAAAACUGCAUGACUAGAGUUUAUCAGAGGAUAGUGGAAUUUCCGGUGUAGCGGUGAAAUGCGUAGAGAUCGGAAGGAACAUCAGUGGCGAAGGCGACUAUCUGGGAUAAAACUGACACUGAGGUGCGAAAGCGUGGGUAGCAAACAGG